rnacentral:rRNA from 1 species
UACGUAGGGUGCAAGCGUUUGUCCGGAAUUAUUGGGCGUAAAGAGCUCGUAGGCGGUUUGUCGCGUCUGCUGUGAAAACCCGAGGCUCAACCUCGGGCCUGCAGUGGUACGGGCGAGACUAGAGUGCGGUAGGGGAGAUUGGAAUUCCUGGUGUAGCGGUGGAAUGCGCAGAUAUCAGGAGGAACACCAAUGGCGAAGGCAGAUCUCUGGGCCGUAACUGACGCUGAGGAGCGAAAGCAUGGGGAGCAAACAGG